AUUUGCUGUCUUACUACUUCAUAAUUAAUACAUAGUAUUCUAUUUUUCUUUGUCUCAUAUGCCUGUACAUAUAUGUGCUAUAUUAGUGUCUUUGAUACACAAACCCCUUUGAUUGUCAAAUCUUGGCAUCUUAAUAUAUAUUUUUACAAGCUCUUUCCCAAGUACUUACUAGACAUAUUCUUUUUGGUUUUUACUUUGGCAUUCGAUUUGUUGUACUUGCAUCUAAAAAAGAAAUCAUGGGCCUUGGAAGAUGGUUGAGCAUUCUAUUAGUGUCAAGUAAGAUACUUUCUACAAGGGUAGUGUUUCCACUGCUGUGGCAGGGUAACCAAUCUUUCUCAUAUUUUAAUAUAAGGUUAGUAAAUAAUUUAAUUACAAUUUAUGGAAUCUAGACUACUCUGUUUUCUGUAUAUUUGAUGGCAUGAUUUUUUCCGUUGAAUUGAUCUGUUUGGUUAAGUUCCUCAACCAUUUUUAUUGACUUAACAUCUCUUAUAUGCCAGUUAGGUAGUUUUAUACAUAGUCUACUAUGUUUAAGUUUGUUAUCUUUACAUGUCCGUUUGAUGAUUAUGAUUGCUGCAACAAAUUCUGGUUUACUGAGUGAACAUGAUCCCAUAUAAAUAGUGUUGUAAAAUACUGCUCAAACUAACUAUGUUAGUUGUAAUGUUACCCUGUUCUAAAUUUUGUUUAGCUUGCCUAUAUUGUUUAUCCUUUGUGAAUGCUUCUGCUUCAGGAUUCAUUAAGCAUCAACGUGUGACUCACCUUACGUGGGGUAUUGCUUUACGAGCUGUUUUAGAUGCUUUGAGGAAGCCUGCAGAUUCAGAAGUUUGUUCCCUCCUAGUUUAUCAGUUAAUGUUAUUAUUGUGAAUUUCAGUCUUACAUUGGAUUUAUGACAUUCUGAUGUUUUCGUUUGGGAGUAUGGCAAUGGAGCAGUUUGUGGACCAUCUCAUUGAGUGGCCACAGUAUACCGUCAUAUCCUGCACUUUGUAGCAUUUAUAGAUAGGGCACUCAACAGUAUUUCGGCGGCUUAUACUGAACCUGAUGUUGGCCAUACUGCCAAUACUGAUCAUCGAAAUGGUCAUAUUCAAUCUUCAGCUCCACAUAUAGAGAUUGCAGGCCCACCAUUUUCUUUGAUCGGACCUAGCAGCAAUUGUCUGGAUUAGCAAUUCCCUCUUUGAUCCCACUGCAACAGAGACCACCAAGUUCUUUGAGUUCACUCCUAAUUACAUGAAGCCAUCACAACACACCUACCCUUCCGAAGGAUUCAUUAAGCAUCAACGUGUGACUCACCUUACGUGGGGUAUUGCUUUACGAGCUGUUUUAGAUGCUUUGAGGAAGCCUGCAGAUUCAGAAGUUUGUUCCCUCCUAGUUUAUCAGUUAAUGUUAUUAUUGUGAAUUUCAGUCUUACAUUGGAUUUAUGACAUUCUGAUGUUUUCGUUUGGGAGUAUGGCAAUGGAGCAGUUUGUGGACCAUCUCAUUGAGUGGCCACAGUAUACCGUCAUAUCCUGCACUUUGUAGCAUUUAUAGAUAGGGCACUCAACAGUAUUUCGGCGGCUUAUACUGAACCUGAUGUUGGCCAUACUGCCAAUACUGAUCACCGAAAUGGUCAUAUUCAAUCUUCAGCUCCACAUAUAGAGAUUGCAGGCCCACCAUUUUCUUUGAUCGGACCUAGCAGCAAUUGUCUGGAUUAGCAAUUCCCUCUUCGAUCCCACUGCAACAGAGACCACCAAGUUCUUUGAGUUCACUCCUAAUUACAUGAAGCCAUCACAACACACCUACCCUUCCUAAGUCACUCGGUGGUGCUUUGCCGUCAAUACAAUCUGCCUCGUCGGAUUUCCAUGGUCUUCUAGAUCAACCUCAGCAAGUAAAUAAUCAGGUUUAACUGUGCUACUCUCUCUCACUGUGCGCUUUAUGGAUUACAUUAACAUGGGGACUGGUUUUACAACUAUGAGAAGAGAAACUCCCAUAGAGGCUGUCAUGAACUUAAAGUUAUCGUGCUCAGACAAUAUUUCCUCAUACAUGGCUGUUAUCUUCUGCCUAAAAUCUAAAGCUUUAUCUAUCUAUUCUUUUGCAACUCUGUGAAGCUGAAAGUGUAUCAUACCUUGAUGAGGUGGCCAGCAACACAGCAACUCAGGAUACGGCCAAGUCAGUUGGACUCGAGGUUCUUGCAUUGCUGAAAAAAGUUUGGUAUAGAUUCAAGACAGUUAAAUGCUCCCUCCGAGGCAAGUUACCGAACGGGCAACUGGAGCUUAAGACAAAGCUUUUGGCAGAUGCCGUAUCAAAUGCUUCAAAUUAUCUUUCAUUCAUCAUGAAUUGUGUUUAUAGUGGUUCUAUUUUGUGUAUUGUGUAGUGUUUUUUUGUAUGCAUGUGUAAAGUGUGUCAUUCAUCAUGAAUUGUGUUUAUAGUGUU